rnacentral:lncRNA from 1 species
AAACUGACUGGGAAUGAGGCUAAGUGACUUUUCCAAGGCCACAAAGCUGUAGGGAGACGCCCCGAGCAAGCUGAGCCAGCCGUGCCGGGAGUGGCAACGCGAGCCCGAACGCGCGGACGCCGGAGCGCGCGCUGGAG